UUUUUGACAUGCUUUGCAUGCCAGGCUCCCUGCAGGUAUGUGCGGCCAACUUUCAUGGGGCGUUUGUUCACUGUCCCUUUGAUUAGCACUUUUGCUUGUUAGGGUCUCGCUGUGGGUUGGGCUGGGGGGUUUUACCCUUGUUGGUAGCAGGAUGUCCCGUCGUUGCCUGUUCAGCCUGUUAUGGGGAUGUUAGGCUUCACAAGCGGCCGAUGUGUCAUCAAAUUCCACAUGUCUCGAAGCGCUUGUGCUUCGGAAGUGCAUUUGGAUAUUUGUUGUGUCCCAUGGAUAUUGUGCCUGUCGGGAGGUCUAUCGGCUUCAUGCUUGUAGACCGAUGAGGUUGCCUUUGCACGGAUCAUUGCUGCGGAUGAAACUUGUGGGACAGGUAGUCGGUUKGGSNCAUAGCGGGUGGCUGAGUCG
rnacentral:misc_RNA from 1 species